CGCUGGCGGCGUGCCAAACACAUGCAAGUCGAACGAGAAAGUGGAGCAAUCCAUGAGUACAGUGGCGACCGGGUGAGUAACACGUGACUAACCUACCCAGAAGCGGGGAAUAACCUCGGGAAACCGGGGCUAAUACCGCAUGAAGUCAUGAGGUGGAAUUCUUUGUGACCAAAGGAGCAAUUCGCUUUUGGAGGGGGUCGCGGCUGAUUAGCUAGUUGGCGGGGUAACGGCCCACCAAGGCAAUGAUCAGUAUCCGGCCUGAGAGGGCGCACGGACACACUGGAACUGAAACACGGUCCAGACUCCUACUUUUUUUUUUGCAGUGGGGAAUUUUGCGCAAUGGGGGAAACCCUGACGCAGCANCGCCGCGUGGAGGAUGAAGGUCCUUGUAAUUGCAUACUCCUUUACGACCGGAACUAUGA
rnacentral:rRNA from 1 species